UUCUCUGGCUCAUAGACUGAGUCCUUUUUGAAACCCCAGCUAUGAGCACAGCAUCCUGAUAUUAUCCCCUGGGCAUGAUCACUGCUGAAGUAGACUGCUGAUUAGAGACCAUUCUUAGACAAACAGACCCUCAGUCCCAUCUUUGCUGCUGGAAUACAUGGACCUCAGAGUCACCCUAUCAGUAAAGAAAAUGUUGUUCUAUAGUCAAUCCUCUAUACAGCUGCCCAAGUGAUCUUUUUAAAAUACAAAUCAGACCAUGACAUUCUCUCCUCCUUAAGUUCCUCCAAUCUCUUACUACACUCAGAAAAAAAAAAAAACUAAACUCCUUUCCAUAGCUACAGAUUCCUAGGCCAGUGGUGGUGAACCUAUGGCACUCAUGCUGCAGCAGGCUGUUUGUAUCAUUGAAUGAUCUAAAAGGUUCACCAUCAUUGCCCUAGACCAUCAUCCUGCAGUGCUCACUUUGUCGUCCCCUGUCUCCCUGGGCUCCAUCCUCACUGCAUUUCUUUCUGUUCCUCCUAUAGCCGAAGGUGAGCCUAUCUCAAGACCUUUGCAUAUUCUACCUCCUCUAUCUGGCACACACUUCUCUCAGAUCUUCUGGUUGGCCUCUUCCCAAAGAAGUCUUCUGUGACACCUCAUCUAGAGAAGCCCAUCCCUCCCCAGUUCUACCCUGUUUCUUGCUAUCUCAUAUCCUAUUUUGUGUUUUCAUACUUAUCUCACCAAAUUUUUCCUCUUGACCUUCCAAUUAUCUCUACACAACUUUACUAUAAAUCUCAUGAGAACAGAGUCUUGUCUUACCAGAUCCUGGUACCCAGGGAUUAGGCACACAGAACUGUUCGGUGGAUAUUACUAAGCAAGUAAGUGAAAGAUGGGGAUAGGCCUGCUUGCACAGUGUGACGGCGUGGUAGCCUGGCCUUGCAGAGAGCUAGAAGUCAGAGCCACGGGGAGACCCCAGCACGGAGAAGGAGAAUUCUACAGCUGCUUCUCCCUUCAGACCCUCCUCACCCAACACACCCAGGACAUCAGAGUCUUCCCAUCCUCACUCCAACCCUCUGUGAUGUCCCUGACUACUUCUUCAAGAAAUAUCAUAUGCUGCCUUGGGCUGCUGGCAUCUCUUUAAAUACAUGUCUCAGACCUAGCUGUGUGUAGGCUUGGGAGAAGAAUCCUCAUUCACAUCCCUCUGCAUCAAGGACACAACCACCGCUGAGCCUUAACCACAAUGACAACACUCAAGCCACCUGCACUGGGAGCCAGGCACUGUCCUACAUGCUUAGGAAUGGGCGUGCAUUUCAUCUUUACAACAAUCCUGGGAGGGUGCCACCCUAGUCCCCUACUACUCAGAUGAAGAUGCUGAGCCCAG
rnacentral:lncRNA from 1 species